rnacentral:tRNA from 1 species
AGAAUGUGGACCUAAAAAUAGAAGUUUAACCCUUCUUAGUGACCGA